AUCAGCAGAGUUUACACGUCACGUUUUGGUAAUGGUACGGUUCACUUGAAACCUCAACUGAGGUGGUACUGAAAAAAGUACCAGGUACUGUACCAAGUGGAAAACCCCCCAAAAGUGAACCGUACUGAACAGUACCUUGCCCUACCAUGCAGUGGAAAAGCACCAUUAGACUC